rnacentral:rRNA from 1 species
CAGUCGCCGCGGUAAUACGAAGGGUGCAAGCGUUAAUCGGAAUUACUGGGCGUAAAUCGUGCGUAGGCGGUUUGUUAAGUCUGUUGUGAAAUCCCCGGGCUCAACCUGGGAAUGGCAAUGGAUACUGGCAAGCUAGAGUGUGUCAGAGGAUGGUGGAAUUCCCGGUGUAGCGGUGAAAUGCGUAGAGAUCGGGAGGAACAUCAGUGGCGAAGGCGGCCAUCUGGGACAACACUGACGCUGAGGCACGAAAGCGUGGGGAGCAAACAGGAUUAGAUACCCCCGUAGUCCCUGUCUCUUAUAC